rnacentral:rRNA from 1 species
ACACUCCUGCGGGAGGCAGCAGUGGGGAAUAUUGGACAAUGGGCGCAAGCCUGAUCCAGCCAUGCCGCGUGAGUGAUGAAGGCCCUAGGGUUGUAAAGCUCUUUCACCGGUGAAGAUAAUGACGGUAACCGGAGAAGAAGCCCCGGCUAACUUCGUGCCAGCAGCCGCGGUAAUACGAAGGGGGCUAGCGUUGUUCGGAUUUACUGGGCGUAAAGCGCACGUAGGCGGACUAUUGAGUCAGGGGUGAAAUCCCGGGGCUCAACCCCGGAACUGCCUUUGAUACUGGUAGUCUUGAGUUCGAGAGAGGUGAGUGGAAUUCCGAGUGUAGAGGUGAAAUUCGUAGAUAUUCGGAGGAACACCAGUGGCGAAGGCGGCUCACUGGCUCGAUACUGACGCUGAGGUGCGAAAGCGUGGGGAGCAAACAGGAUUAGAUACCCCUGUAGUCCCAUG